CUUACCCUACAAUUGUCUCCUCGAGGAUAGCAGUGGAUGCUCGCACGGUAAUUGCGAAUCGAGGUAGAGUCGUUAAUGCGUCAUAGCGUGCGCGUGCGAUCUCCAACUCGCUGACGUCUGACGAUAAAGCGCAGUCACUACUAAGGCGUGGGAACGAGAUGAAGUUAUGCGCGCGAGUUUAUUUAACCUUCUCCUUCUAACUUUGACGUUUCAGUACUUACAAUUAGAAAUGAUUUUUGACGAUAUAAUAUUUUGAAUGACGAAGAGAAAAGUGUCAACAUCAAGAAAAACCAUUUAUCGGCUUAUCGACGCGUCACUAAUCGCAAAAGGAAUGCGGAACAACGAAGAUCGGCAAUGAUGCGUAAGGGACGCGCUUAACUGUAGAAUUUCUAACGGUCAUGCUUCGGUAAAAAGGCAGUAAACGCUGAGUGUUACGAGAGCAUAGACGAAGAUAGGUGCGAAUUCAUGCGUGUCACUCACAUCGAUAGGUAUAACGCUUCUCGUGCGUUGCGAGAGUCUUCGAACGUGGUGCGUUAACAACGACGUCGCAUAAGCCUUGCGUAUCGAAGUGAGUCAAUGAGCCAUAGAAAGAUAGAGAAAAAGAUAAAAAAAUUGAAGAUGAAAAUGAGAAUGAUACAAAGAACGAGAGAAAUCUACAUAGAAAUACAUAUCUAUAUGUAAAUAUGUUAUAUGCGGAGAUAUAGAGAGCAAAAAACAGAAUGAAAAAUAGACGGUAAGACAAGGAAAAUAGAAAGAGAAGGAAUGGGGAGAAACGUUCCUAACACGCAAAGAUGCUUCGUGUACGAGACACGUGGACUACAUAUCCCUACCUAUUGGAGAUAGGAGGAUGAGGAAAGGAUAAAAGGAUGACAUGUGACUUGUCAUCGACGUCACGAACGUCGUCAUCGAGUCGAAUGGAAGGAAGCAAGCAGUCUUCUCGUUCCCACAGAGAAAUGUAUACUAAUUAAGGCAUGCAUUGUCAGGAUCAAUGUGCAAAGAAGACAUGCUAAUUACAUCUCGAAGAUGUCUUUUUUUAAGCCGCGUCCCUUCUUUUCGACAGGGUAGCCCGUUCCACCUUUCCUCUUCUUUUCUCCUUCCUCAACACUCGCCUCCACAGACUUCGAGGUGAAUGAAGCGCGAAUCUCGCGCCCGCUUUCUUUUCCGCGUAUGAAAGGGAGUCGUCUCUUUCUUUCUCUUUCUACGUUCCUAUCUUUCUGUCUCUCCCUUUCGUACGCACGACACACGGUUGCUGUCUCACACGUGUGUAUCUUAUGCGAAUCGACGUCGACUCGUUGCACAUACUCUCAGACCUUCCACGCUACAUUCUCGGCAUUGUGCGCGUCACACACGUGAUGCUACGACGUUUCACUCCGUCGCUUUAUUCAAUCCUUUAUAUCUGCGAGUGACUUUAAUAGUCCUUCUAUUACGUCGCCAACUUUUUUACCCCUUUUUUCUUUUAUUUUCUUUUUUCCUUCUUUUCUUCUUUUUUUUUUAUUAUUCCUUCUUCUUCUCUUUCCUUGAAAAGGGCGGAGUUGUUUCACAUUAACAUCACGCUUUUCUGCGUAAUAAAGAGCCUCACUUUUAUUCCAUUCGAAUUGAUCGUAAGCGUACGCGGAAACGUUUAGAAUCGCCGUCUCGACACAUUAAAUCAAAGUCGUUCGCAAGAAA
rnacentral:lncRNA from 1 species